rnacentral:rRNA from 1 species
AACGAACGCUGGCGGCGCGCUUAACACAUGCAAGUCGAACGAGAAGGCGUAGCAAUACGCUUGUACAGUGGCGAACGGGUGAGUAAUACGUGGGCGACCUACCCUCGAGUGGGGAAUAACCCGCCGAAAGGCGGGCUAAUGCCGCGUACGCCUCCAUCUUUAUGAAGGUGGAAGGAAAGCCGUGCCGUGGGCACGGCGCUCAAGGAUGGGCUCACGUCCUAUCAGCUUGUUGGAGGGUAACGGCCUACCAAGGCUCCGACGGGUAGCUGGUCUGAGAGGACGAUCAGCCACACUGGCACUGCGACACGGGCCAGACUCCUACGGGAGGCAGCAGUGAGGAGUAUUGCGCAAUGGGCGAAAGCCUGACGCAGCGACGCCGC